rnacentral:rRNA from 1 species
UACGGGGGGGGUAAGCGUUGUUCGGAAUUACUGGGCGUAAAGGGCGCGUAGGCGGCCUGUUAAGUCGAACGUGAAAUCCCCGGGCUCAACCCGGGAACUGCGUCCGAUACUGGCAGGCUUGAAUCCGGGAGAGGGAUGCGGAAUUCCAGGUGUAGCGGUGAAAUGCGUAGAUAUCUGGAGGAACACCGGUGGCGAAGGCGGCAUCCUGGACCGGCAUUGACGCUGAGGCGCGAAAGCCAGGGGAGCAAACGGG